AAAACUUGGUAGACUUGCUGUCCAACUAGUGGCAGGUGGAAGUGGUGUGAAAUCAGUGAAAGUAACUUAUGGUUCAGCUAGAGGACCUGAUGAUCUUGACACGAGAUUGCUUCGGGCGAUGAUAACCAAGGGAUUGAUUGAGCCUAUUUCCAGUUCUUUUGUGAACUUGGUAAAUGCAGAUUUCACAGCUAAACAGAGGGGACUGAGAAUAGCUGAACAAAGAUCUCUUCUAAAUGGUUCUCCAGAAAGUCCACUCGAAUUCAUUCAGGUUCAGAUUUCCAGUGUGGAGUCCAAGUUUGCCAGUGCUCUUUCCGACUCUGGAGAGAUUAGAGUGGAGGGGAGAGUUAAAGAUGGAAUCCCUCAUUUGACAAAAGUUGGAUCUUUUGAAGUGGAUGUGAGCUUAGAGGGCAGCAUCAUUCUGUGCAGACAGGUUGAUCAGCCCGGAAUGAUUGGAAAGGUGGGUAGCAUCUUGUCUGAGGGGAAUGUGAACGUAAGCUUCAUGAGCGUUGGAAGGGUUGCUCCAAGGAAGCAUGCUGUUAUGGCUAUUGGGGUGGAU
rnacentral:misc_RNA from 1 species